AUUUUCUACUUUGAAUUGACGAUUUCGGCAUUUCUCGGUCUCACAGAAUUGUUGGUGUGUGAGAGUGUUUAUGUGUGUGUGUUUGUGCACGAAUACCCAACAAACCAAAAAGCAAAUCGAAAUACCCAAAGAACGAAGAAAAACGCCAGAGAUCAGUCAGUCGGCGACAAUCGGAAAGAAACCAAAACAUUACGAAAAAAACCAAAUUCACAAAGUGUAUUUCUGUUUUCAAAACACUUGAUGAAUAACACAAAGUGGUGGAGGGAGAUGGAGGGACAUUAACAAUACGUAAUAUUUAGAAAAUGCCAAAAGAAAAAAACUCACAAAUAGCCACAGUGGUAUUAAUGAUAAAAGAUAUUUAGGAAGAAUGAAUCAUUUUGUCCAACAAAAUACAUCUAGAAACAUUCUUUUUUGGAUGAGACGCGGAUCUUAAAUAUAUAUUUAAAUAUAUGCAUUGUUACUAA